rnacentral:rRNA from 1 species
GGUAAUGGCUUACCAAGGCGACGAUCUCUAGCUGUUCUGAGAGGAAGAUCAGCCACACUGGGACUGAGACACGGCCCAGACUCCUACGGGAGGCAGCAGUGGGGAAUAUUGCACAAUGGGGGGAAACCCUGAUGCANCCAUGCCGCGUGUGUGA